UACGGAGGGGGCUAGCGUUGUUCGGAAUUACUGGGCGUAAAGCGCACGUAGGCGGCUUUGUAAGUUAGAGGUGAAAGCCCAGGGCUUAACCCUGGAAUUGCCUUUAAGACUGCAUCGCUAGAAUCGUGGAGAGGUGAGUGGAAUUCCGAGUGUAGAGGUGAAAUUCGUAGAUAUUCGCAAGAACACCAGUGGCGAAGGCGGCUCACUGGCCCGGUACUGACGCUGAGGUGCGAAAGCGUGGGGAGCAAACAGG
rnacentral:rRNA from 1 species